rnacentral:tRNA from 1 species
GCAGAUAUGGCGGAAUUGGUAGACGCGCUAUCUUCAGACGGUAGUGGUUAUGCCAUGCGGGUUCGAAUCCCGCUAUCUGCACCA